rnacentral:rRNA from 1 species
GACGAACGCUGGCGGCGUGCUUAACACAUGCAAGUCGAACGGAAAGGCCCUGCUUUUGUGGGGUGCUCGAGUGGCGAACGGGUGAGUAACACGUGAGUAACCUGCCCUUGACUUUGGGAUAACUUCAGGAAACUGGGGCUAAUACCGGAUAGGAGCUCCUGCUGCAUGGUGGGGGUUGGAAAGUUUCGGCGGUUGGGGAUGGACUCGCGGCUUAUCAGCUUGUUGGUGGGGUAGUGGCUUACCAAGGCUUUGACGGGUAGCCGGCCUGAGAGGGUGACCGGCGACAUGGGGACUGAGGUACGGCCCAGACUCCUACGGGAGGCAGCAGGCGGGAGUAUGGCACAAUGGGCGGAAGCCUGAGGCAGCAACGCCGGGUGCGGGAUGACGGCCUUCGGGUUGUGAACCGCUUUCGCCUGUGACGAGGCGGGAGUGACGGUAAUGGGUAAAGAAGCACCGGCUAACUACGUG